GAGGACCGGUAGCUGAUCACCUCUUUGUUACGAAAAACAUUUUUCGCGUCCACCGAACCACUGCUAUAGUACACUUCUCUCUAUCUCUACUCUAUACAAUUCAAAUUCAGAGGCACAAAGCAGCCAGCAGGAAAGACAGAGACGCUGCUAUAGUGCAGUUUGUGUGGUAAUAUACUAUAUCAUUCUUCAGGCUGAAUGGGGAAAAUAGUAUGUACGGAGCUUAGUGGAGGAGGCGAUGGAGUUGAUCUGAUGGGCCUUCUCCUGGCGUUUGCAAUUGCUCUAGUGCUCAUGUUAAUAUGCGCCGCACAACCACCAGCUCGUCGGAGACUCGUGGCAGUCUAUCCAGCCUAUCAUUAAUGACCUGUUAAUAAAAAUGUGGGGUGGGUUCUGCCUCUGUUCAGUCAUUUUUCCCCGCCUUCUCCCUUGCGUCUUACAGGUGGUACUUUGGCAUAUCUUUUCCAGUGUUAUGAUUAAUGUAGUUGUCGUAUUGUAGGUGGCAAAGAUUGUUGUACGAUCAUAUGCAUCUGCAAAUCUACCCUUUAGCACCGUGUCAUCUAGUGGAGGUUCUGUUUUUCGUUUUUGGUUUUGGAUGAAAAUUUUGGCUGCAUGCUUAUCUAUCAAUCCGGCAUCUCAUCAGUUAACUA